rnacentral:rRNA from 1 species
GGGAACUCAAAGGAGACUGCCGGUGAUAAACCGGAGGAAGGUGGGGAUGACGUCAAGUCAUCAUGGCCCUUACGAGUAGGGCUACACACGUGCUACAAUGGCGUAUACAAAGAGAAGCGAACUCGCGAGAGCAAGCGGACCUCAUAAAGUACGUCGUAGUCCGGAUCGGAGUCUGCAACUCGACUCCGUGAAGUCGGAAUCGCUAGUAAUCGUAGAUCAGAAUGCUACGGUGAAUACGUUCCCGGGCCUUGUACACACCGCCCGUCACACCAUGGGAGUGGGUUGCAAAAGAAGUAGGUAGCUUAACCUUCGGGAGGGCGCUUACCACUUUGUGAUUCAUGACUGGGGUGAAGUCGUAACAAGGUAACCGUAGGGGAACCUGCGGUUGGAUCACCUCCUUA